UGUUCAAGGACCUUGAAAUGCACAGAUAAGGGGCUAUAUCUUGGACUUUGGGUGUGUUCAAGCUUCUUGUUGAAACCUACUAAAGCCCGGUGGUAAUGUUCGGGCCGGCACUGUUCAGUGUUGUUAUAUGCUGAAACCAAAACAUGGAAGGGAGAUGCUAAAUUAUUUCCUAUCUCGAAUUUCGGAUCAAGUUAUGAGGGUAUAUAGACUUUUUUGCCCCUGAAAUGUUUCAAAUAAGGACAAUCAAUGUACCCUUCCCCCCCUUCUACAAUCGGCGCCCAAACCCUGCACCUCAUUACACGAUUUGGUCGCAUAUAUCGUGGGUGUGGAGGAGCGUUGUGGAGUUUUCCAGGUUUCGUCUUCCCCAAUUUACCCCAGGUAUUCCCUAGUUGGUUUUCCUUGCAAUUUGCACAAACAGAUUUGCGGUUGGUUUAUUUUGUGUGUGCAAAGUUCAAUCAUCAGCGAAAGCAAAAAAAGAGAAGGCUAGAUUUCGCGCGUCGUGCUCUUCAACUUGUCAUCCCGAAAUGCAUAAAGAAGAAGUUCCCGAAUGCCAAUGCGGUGGCGGGUACAUGACCCUUAAGCGUGCCUGGCCAUCGGCGAUCAAUGCAGGCCGCUACUACCUAAAGUGUCCGGUUGAAGGGAAGCACCUUGGGUCUUUUAUGUGGUACGACGAAGUGUUUGGUGAAACCUCUAAUCGCAGCUGCAAUAUACAGGCUGACUUAGGUAGGACUCGCACACGCUACGUUCGUGGAGCGGACAGAAUAUCAGAAGCGACGUCCCCCUCCGUUAUAAGUACUCCAAACUACAACACCCUUCGCAUGUUGGAAUGGAAGAGCAAUGUCCUGAUUUUGUGCACCGGCUUGUUGUUGGUAAUGGUAGGAUUUUUUAUUGGAAAGGCUGUCUAGCUGUAGAAAACUUGAACGCUCAUGUGUAUGCUUAAAUUUCCAAUACUAAAAUCAGGUUGUAGUAAACUUGAUAGCUCACAUGUAAGCUUAAAUUUCCUAAACUGAAUGUUAGCUUUCUUAGAUAUUUCAGACGAAGCACCACGCAGUUUGUUAU